rnacentral:rRNA from 1 species
AUUGAACGCUGGCGGCAGGCCUAACACAUGCAAGUCGAACGAGUGGCGGACGGGUGAGUAAUGUCUGGGAAACUGCCUGAUGGAGGGAGAUAACUACUGGAAACGGUAGCUAAUCCCGCAUACCAUCAUAUGUUCCCAGGUGGGAUUAGCUAGUUGGUGGGGUAACGGCUCACCAAGGCGACGAUCCCUAGCUGGUCUGAGAGGAUGCCAAGCCAAACUGGAACUGAGACACGGUCCAGACUCCUACGGGAGGCAGAAGUGGGGAAGAUUGCACAAGGGGCGCAAGCCUGAUGUAGCCAUGCCGCGUGUAUGAAGAAGGCCUUCGGGUUGUAAAGUACUUUCAGCGGGGAGGCGUUACCCGCAGAAGAAGCACCGGCUAACUCCGUGCCAGCCGCCGCGGUAAUAC